ensembl:rRNA 5S_rRNA 5S ribosomal RNA
AUCUACUGCCAUACCAUCCUGAAUGUGCCUGAUCUCGUCUGAUCUCAGAAAAUAAGCCGAAUUGGGCCUGGUUAGUACUUAGAUGGGAGACCACCUGGGAUUACCAGGUGCUAUAGGCU